UCGCUGUAUGCGGGAGAGACCGGCAUUUGCCGGCGCCGAAGGAGCAACCGCCCCGGAAACUCUCAGGCAAAAGGACCGCGCGGCGCUA
rnacentral:ncRNA from 2 species